AUUACCAGUGUGCGUCUUGGAAGAGUGUUGCCAUCGUAUACGCUAAAAGCUGAUUGGCUCCGCCAUCUUUUGCUCAGAUUUCCGGAUUAAUUUGGAAGGGGUAAACAGAUGAUCAGUUGUUUAUUUUUCGUUUACUCUGGUUUAACCUCACUUAACUAGAUAGAUCGAGAAAUAUUAAAUUACUAUUACUAUUAUCCAGGUUGAAAAAUGCCUUCCUCUAAGGUAAAAGGUUGCGAAGUCGAUUGGGGAAAAAUAAUGUGAAAAUGAAUUCUUUCCCAAAAGAAUCUGAACGACGGAAAGUAUGGAUUAAAAAUAUAGGGUUAAAACAAGAUCCAAACAAAUAUGCUGUUGUUUGUGAAAAAAACUGUAAAUAGUAUUUAAGGCAACGAUUGUGAAUGAGUGAGAAGUCUAAUAAAGCCACGACGAGAUACUGUAUUAGAGCGUACGAUUUGGAGGUAUUUUUGAUUAGAUAAAUUUUGUUAAGUACAAUAUAAAUUAGAUUUGAUAAUGUGUAGUAUUUCCUAAUAAAUUAAAUACUAUUAAGUGUUUAUUGUUCUUGUAAGUUAGUGUGGUAAAUAAAUAAUAUGAAGUAA